AUAAGAGAGAGAGCACAGUCCCUGUCCUCUGUCAUGUCCUAGGGCAAGGGCUUUACCUGCUUCCUUCUCC
rnacentral:miRNA from 1 species